rnacentral:rRNA from 1 species
AUGAACGCUGGCGGCGUGCUUAACACAUGCAAGUCGAACGCGAAGUGAAGACGGAAACCUUCGGGCGGAAGGCUUUAUUUCGAGUGGCGGACGGGUGAGUAACGCGUGGGUAACCUGCCUCAUACAGGGGGAUAACAGUUGGAAACGACUGUUAAUACCGCAUAAGACCACAGCACCGCAUGGUGCGGGGGUAAAAACUCCGGUGGUAUGAGAUGGACCCGCGUUCGAUUAGCCAGUUGGCGGGGUAACGGCCCACCAAAGCGACGAUCGAUAGCCGAUCUGAGAGGAUGACCGGCCACAUUGGGACUGAGACACGGCCCAAACUCCUACGGGAGGCAGCAGUGGGGAAUAUUGCACAAUGGGGGAAACCCUGAUGCAGCGACGCCGCGUGAGUGAAGAAGUAUUUCGGUAUGUAAAGCUCUAUCAGCAGGGAAGAAAAUGACGGUACCUGAGUAAGAAGCCCCGGCUAACUACGUG